AGACACAGACACAUACUGUCACAGCUAAUAACAGAGCAAAAAGAGUUGCACCUAUCAAGGGAACCGCUGCUACUAAAGUUGAUGCCUCUGUUACUUCUAAUGCUAAGAAGGCUGUGAGGUCUAAAGGU